ensembl:miRNA
AGAGGAGCUGGAUAAGUACUGGUCUCAGCAGAUUGAGGAGAGUACCACAGUGGUCACCACACAGUCUGCUGAGGUUGGAGCUGCUGAGAUGACACU